rnacentral:rRNA from 1 species
UACGUAGGGGGCGAGCGUUACCCGGAUUCACUGGGCGUAAAGCGUACGUAGGCGGCUUGUUAAGCAAGAUGUGAAAUCCCCGGGCUCAACCUGGGAAUGGCAUUUUGAACUGGCAGGCUCGAGUUCUGAAGAGGGUGGUAGAAUUUCCAGUGUAGCGGUGAAAUGCGUAGAUAUUGGAAGGAAUACCGGUGGCGAAGGCGGCCACCUGGUCAGAAACUGACGCUGAGGUACGAAAGCGUGGGGAGCAAACAGG